rnacentral:lncRNA from 1 species
UUAUAUGUUUGCAAAUUUAACAUUGAAAAUAGAAGUCAAAAUUUAUAUUGACUGUCAAUCAACCGCUGCCUGCACAGCUACCGCCAUUGCUGCCUCUGAUUCCACUGGCCAGCCUGAGGUCGCUUAAUGGUCUUCUUUCUGAGUGCUGCUGCUACAGAAGAAACCACUGCCCUGGAUGCAACUGAAGCUGACACUACAGCUGAUCCCCAGAGAUCGCCUGGAGACACUGCCCCCAGAGCUGCAGUAGUAGCUGCCAGUGCAGCCACCACUACUGCUGACCCACUGCCUGCUGCCAACAACCACUACCACUACCUUUGCUCCCACAGCCUAGAGGACUGCUCCCGGAGAGACUCCAGGUUUGGUUGCAUGUGGCUGCACCCAUUUUGGGUCACCAGCCAGGGCGUGAGGACUGGGUGCCAGCAAGGUUUACUACCACAAGAGCCUCUGUCUGGGGACUCCAGCUGGGACCUGCAGGUCCAAUGUGGAGGUGCCUGCAGGUUUGGAGGAGCCUGUGGUCUUCCUGCUGAGUGUGCUGGUGGCCAUUGUCUUGCUGCUGAAUUUAGGGGUUGCUCCUUUGCAUGAGUGUAUCCCUGGUGGUCUCUCUGUAAGUAGGAGCAGCAUUGAGAUCUUGGGACUGCAGUGUGACCUAUCCUGAGGUAUCUGAAGCCCAGAUUGGUGGGAUAGAGACUGGGUUUGUGAGGGCUGAUCUGGGUUUGGUGAUCCCAAGAGAUGUCAGAGACAGAGCAGAGAAACUGUGAACACUGACAGAGAUAGUUUGACUUUCCAGCAAUAUUUAUUUUACUUUAUUUUUUGAUUCACUAAUCUUUCUAUCAUAUUUGGAGCAGAAUUUUUUUAUGCAUCGGUGUGUGUAUGACAAUAAUAUAUGAUUGGUGUUUUGCAUUUUUGUUGUAUUCUUAUGUCUUUAAUUUUUUUUUCUCUUUGUUCAUAUUUUUCCUCUCUCUUGUCUAUUUUCUUUCCAACUUUUCUCCAACCAACAGACAAUCUUUGUUGGCUCCUCCUCCACUCUUCCUGUGAAUUUUUACUUCUAGCUUUUCUCUUCCUCCCUCAUGAAAAUUGCAUACUAAUCUACCUUUGUUCUCUCAUCCAGCAUUUAAAAUUGUAAAUCAUUUUAACAAAUAUUCUGUUUGUACUAUGGAUAGUUACUGAACUCAUCAUUUUGUUUCAAUGUAAGAAAGCAGUAGACGCCUUAGUGGGAGCUAAUAUAUUAAGGCUAUAUAUUGUGUUCAUUGGGUGCUGUUGAUAUUGGUCUUACCAGUAAAGGCAAAGCCCUGGAAACCUUCAGGGACACUAUAGGUCUAUGGGGUAGAAAUUAUCCUGCCUUAGAUCCAUACUUUUAAAUGGGAAAACACACCAACAACAUGAAAAAACAAGAGGAUAAAGUGCCCCUGACAAACCAAGAUGUUUCAAUAACAGAAGCCACUGAUAACACAGUAGAAGAAAUGUCCAAGAAGGAGUUCAGAUUGUACAUAGUUCAACUGAUAUAUGAAGUAAAGAAUACUAUAAAAUCAAAGAAAUAAUACAGGAAAUGAAAGACCAUUUCAAUAAAGAGUUAGAGAUCAUAAAAAAAUUAGAAACCUUUGAAAUGUAGGAAUCAGUAAACCAAAUUAUAAAUUCAAUAGAAAGCAUCACCAACAGAUUAGACCACUUGGAAGACAGAACCUUAGACAAUGAAGACAAAAUAUAUAACCUUGAAAGCAGAGUUAAACAUGCAGAGAAGAUAGUAAGAAACCAUGAACAAAACAUCCAAGAAUUAUGGCAUAACAUGAAAAGAAUAAAUUUAAGAGGUAUUGGAAUAGAUGAAGGAGCAGAGAUACAAACCAAAGAAAUGCACAAUUUUCAAUGAUAUAAAAAAUUUCCAAACCUAAAGAAUGGAAUGGAAAAUCAAAUAUGAGAGGCUUAUAGGACCCCAAAUGUACAAAAUUACAGCAGACCCACACAAAGACACAUUAAAUGAGAAUGACUAACUCACAGAAUCAAAAUAAAAUCUUAAAGAAUGUGAAAGAAAAAAAAUCAAAUUAUGUAUGGGGGAAACCAAUUUGGAUCUCAACUGAUUCUCAGCCCAGACCCUCAAGCUCGGAGGACCUAGAAUAAUAUAUUUCAAGCUCUGAAAGAAAAUGGAUGCCAAACAAGAAUUUUAUAUCCAGCAAAAUUGUUUCAGAUUUGAAGAUAAAAUUAAAGCAUUCAAUGAUAAACAAAAAUUAAAAGAAUUCACAAUUAGAAAGCCUACACUACAGAGCAUUCUCAACAAGAUAUUCCAUGAGGAUGAAGUGGAAAAAAAGUGAAAAUCAGCAACAGGAGAAUCUACACUAAAGUGACACAACCAAAUGAGAAACUAAAACAAAUCAAAAACCAGAAAUAAAUAAAAAUGACAGGGAAUACAAAUCACAUCUCAAUAAAAACCCUGAAUGUUAACAGCCUAAACUCAUCAAUCAAAAGAAACAGAUGGGCAGAUUGAAUUAAAAAGCAAGACCUAACAAUAUGCUGUCUUCAAGAGACUCACCUCAUGGACAAAGACAUCCACAGGCUGAAGGUGAAAGAAAUGGAAAAAACUUAUCACUCAUGUGGAUUGCAUAAACAAGCAGGGGUUUCCAUUCUCAUUUCAGAUAAAGUAGAUUCAAACCAAAGUUAAUCAGAAGAGAAAAAGAAGGACAUUUCAUAAGUCUUAAGAGGAGUAUAUAUAAGCAGGAUUAAACAAUUAUAAAUAUUUAUGCCCCAAACAAUGGAGCAUCUAUGUACAUCAGCAAACCCUUCUCAAUUUCAAGAGACAAAUAGACCCUACACAAUAAUACUGGGUGACAUUAACACACCAUUUUCACUACUGGACAGAUCUUCCAAAUAAAAACUAAAUAAGGAAACUAUAGAACUAAAUAAUACAAUUAAUAAUUUAGACUUAAUAGACAUAUUUUAGAAUAUUUCAUCCAUCAACAAGCAAAUAUACUUUCUUCUCAACAGUACAUGUCUUCUUCUCUAAAAUAGACCAUAUCUUAUGCCACAAAGCAACUCUUAGUAAAUAUAAAAAAAACAGAGAUAAUACCCUGCAUUCUAUCAAACCACAAUGGAGUAAAAUUAGAAAUCAAUGAUAAAAAGAAAUUAGAAAUCAAUGAAAAAAAGAAGCUACUGUAACAAAUGGAGACUAAAUAAUACACAAUUGAAUGAUGAAUGGAUAGUAGAAGAAAUCAAGAAUGAAAUAAAAAUUUCUUAGAGAUAAAUGAGAGCACUGAUAUAACAUCAAAAUCUCUGGGUCACUAUGAAGGCAGUACUGAUAGGAAAGUUUAUUGCACUGAGUGCAUUCAUUAAAAGAAUAAAAAAUCAACAAAUAAAUGACCUAACACUACAUCCCAAAGCCCUAGAAAAACAAGAGAAAUCAACACCCAAAGCAGAAGACAGAAAAUAAUUAAAAUCAGAGGUGAAAUUAAUAAAAUUGAAGCAAAAGAAAAAAUUGAAAAAAAUUGGCAAAACAAAAAGUUGGUUUUUUGAAAAAAUAAAUAAAAUAGAUAAACCCCUGGCCAUGCUAAGAAAGAGAAAAGGAGAGAAAACUCAAAUUACUAAAACACAUGAUGAAGAAGGAAAUAUCACAACAGACAUGUCUAAAAUACAGAAAAAAAUUAGAAACUAUUUUGAAAAUUUAUACUCUAAUAUAAUAGAAAAUAUCAAAGACAUCCACAAAUUCCUAGAGACAUAUGACCUACCCAAACUGAAUGAGGAGGUCAUACAUGAUUUAUUUAAAGAGAUCAAUUUUAAGUAAUGGUAUAGAAAACACCAUCAAAAGCCUAUUAACCAAGAAAAGCCCAGGACCAGAUGUAUUCUCAGCCAAGUUCUACAAGACUUUCAAAUAAGAAUUAACACCAAUGCUCCUCAAAAUAUUCCAUGAAAUAGAAAAAGAGAAAACCUUUUCAAACUCAUUCUAUGAGGCUAAUAUCACUCAGAUACCAAAACCAGACAAAAACACAUCAAGGAAAGAAAACUUCAGACCAAUAUCCCUGAUGAACAUAGAUGCAAAAAUUCUCAAUAAAGUUCUGGCAAAUUGCAUACAAAAACAUAUUAAAAAGGUAGUGCAUCACAAUCAAAUGAGAUUCAUUCCAGGGAUGCAGGGUUGGUUCAACAUAUGGAAAUCAAUAAACAUAAUUCAUCAUAUUAAUGGACUUAAAUACAAG